CUUUAUUCAAAUUUAUUGUUUAAGCUUUGUUGCUUUCUAUGCUUAAUAUUGCCUAAUUUGAUAGCCAGUUUUCAGUCAUUGUUGAGCGAAGGUAUGUCUUGAGAAGUUUAAGCCUGCUUAAAAUUUUUGGCCAGACACAUUUUCUUCAAAAACAUAAUCAUUAUUGUUUAGCCGAGAUACUCCUACCAAUGGGCGGUUAGCAUCAACAACUACAUCGUCGGAGAACAGACGAAUAUUUUGGGAUGGUUGGGGAUUAUGAGCUAGACGACCACACUUAUAAAUUACGUUAAACAAGUUAGUUAAUAGGGACGUGCGGCAAGGCCCGCACGUUAUUAUAUUUAAAUAUACAAAACAGAAAUAAGCUGGUACAGAGUUGACUAAAGUUAGAUUUGCGCGCAAUACAUAUAUACAAAUGAAAAUAGUAACAAAAGGAAAAUAAUAAUAGUGUAAUCGGAAACUUGAUCACACGGGUAUAC